rnacentral:rRNA from 2 species
GUUAUAUGGUCAAGCGAAUAAGCGCACACGGUGGAUGCCUUGGCGGUCAGAGGCGAUGAAGGACGUGGCAGCCUGCGAAAAGUAUCGGGGAGCUGGCAACAAGCUUUGAUCCGGUAAUGUCCGAAUGGGGAAACCCACCCGCUUGCGGGUAUCCUGCAGUGAAUACAUAGCUGCUGGAAGCGAACCUGGUGAACUGAAAUAUCUAAGUAACCAGAGGAAAAGAAAUCAACCGAGAUUCCGUAAGUAGCGACGAGCGAACGCGGACUAGCCCUUAAGCUGAUUUGGUUCUAGGAAAACGCUCUGGAAAGAGUGGCCAUAGAAGGUGAUAGCCCUGUAUCUGAAAGGGCCAUUUCAGUGAAGACGAGUAGGGCGGGGCACGUGAAACCCUGUCUGAACAUGGGGGGACCAUCCUCCAAGGCUAAAUACUACUGACCGACCGAUAGUGAACCAGUACCGUGAGGGAAAGGCGAAAAGAACCCCGGAGAGGGGAGUGAAAUAGAACCUGAAACCGUGUGCGUACAAGCAGUAGGAGCUCCGCAAGGAGUGACUGCGUACCUUUUGUAUAAUGGGUCAGCGACUUACUGUUCGUGGCAAGCUUAACCGUAUAGGGGAGGCGAAGGGAAACCGAGUCUGAUAAGGGCGCAUAGUCGCGGGCAGUAGACCCGAAACCGGGUGAUCUAGUCAUGCCCAGGGUGAAGGUGCGGUAACACGCACUGGAGGCCCGAACCCACUCCCGUUGCAAAGGUAGGGGAUGAGGUGUGAUUAGGAGUGAAAAGCUAAUCGAACCCGGAGAUAGCUGGUUCUCCUCGAAAGCUAUUUAGGUAGCGCCUCAUAUGUAUCCUCUCGGGGGUAGAGCACUGUUAUGGCUAGGGGGUCAUCGCGACUUACCAAACCAUUGCAAACUCCGAAUACCGAGACGGACUGUAUGGGAGACACACGGCGGGUGCUAACGUCCGUCGUGAAAAGGGAAACAACCCAGACCCACAGCUAAGGUCCCAAAUUUUGUGCUAAGUGGAAAACCAUGUGGAAAGGCACAGACAGCCAGGAGGUUGGCUUAGAAGCAGCCACCCUUUAAAGAAAGCGUAAUAGCUCACUGGUCGAGUCGGUCUGCGGGGAAGAUUUAACGGGGCUAAGCACAGAACCGAAGCUUGGGGUGCAUAACUUUGUUAUGCGCGGUAGAGGAGCGUUCCGUAAGCCGUUGAAGGUGGAUUGAGAAGUCUGCUGGAGGUAUCGGAAGUGCGAAUGCUGACAUGAGUAACGAUAAUGCGGGUGAAAAACCCGCACGCCGAAAGCCCAAGGUUUCCUUGCGCAACGUUAAUCGGCGCAGGGUGAGUCGGCCCCUAAGGCGAGGACGAAAGUCGUAGUCGAUGGGAAGCAGGUUAAUAUUCCUGCACCUCGCGUAAGUGCGAUGGAGGGACGGAGAAGGUUAGGUGUACCAGGCGUUGGUUGUCCUGGGGAAAGGCGGUAGGUUUGGAUCUUUGGCAAAUCCGGGAUCCUCUAAGACCGAGCACCGAGACGAGCCUUUAUGGCAAAGUCACUGAUACCACGCUUCCAGGAAAAGCUCCUAAGCUUCAGCUUACGCAGACCGUACCGUAAACCGACACAGGUGGGUAGGAUGAGAAUUCUCAGGCGCUUGAGAGAACUCGGGUGAAGGAACUAGGCAACAUGGCACCGUAACUUCGGGAGAAGGUGCACCCUUUUUGGUGGCUCGUGCGAGCUAUAGCUGAAGAGGGUCGCAGUAACCAGGCCGCUGCGACUGUUUAUCAAAAACACAGCACUCUGCAAACACGAAAGUGGACGUAUAGGGUGUGACGCCUGCCCGGUGCUGGAAGGUUAAUUGAUGGGGUCAGCCGCAAGGCGAAGCUCUUGAUCGAAGCCCCAGUAAACGGCGGCCGUAACUAUAACGGUCCUAAGGUAGCGAAAUUCCUUGUCGGGUAAGUUCCGACCUGCACGAAUGGCGUAACGACAGCGGCGCUGUCUCCACCCGAGACUCAGUGAAAUUGAAAUCGCUGUGAAGAUGCAGCGUUCCCGUGGCAAGACGGAAAGACCCCGUGAACCUUUACUAUAGCUUUACACUGAACGUUGAGUUCGUCUGUGUAGGAUAGGUGGGAGGCUAUGAAACCAUGGCGCUAGCUGUGGUGGAGCCAUCCUUGAAAUACCACCCUGUCGUGCUUGACGUUCUAACCUGGGCCCAUUAUCUGGGUCGGGGACCGUGUAUGGUGGGUAGUUUGACUGGGGCGGUCUCCUCCUAAAGAGUAACGGAGGAGCUCGAAGGUACGCUCAGCGCGGUCGGACAUCGCGCACUGUGUGCAAAGGCAUAAGCGUGCUUGACUGCAAGAUCGACGGAUCAAGCAGGUAGGAAACUAGGACUUAGUGAUCCGGUGGUUCUGUAUGGAAGGGCCAUCGCUCAACGGAUAAAAGGUACUCCGGGGAUAACAGGCUGAUACCGCCCAAGAGUUCAUAUCGACGGCGGUGUUUGGCACCUCGAUGUCGGCUCAUCACAUCCUGGGGCUGUAGUCGGUCCCAAGGGUAUGGCUGUUCGCCAUUUAAAGUGGUACGCGAGCUGGGUUCAGAACGUCGUGAGACAGUUCGGUCCCUAUCUGCCAUGGGCGUUGGAGAUUUGAGAGGGGCUGCUCCUAGUACGAGAGGACCGGAGUGGACGAACCUCUGGUGUUCCGGUUGUCACGCCAGUGGCAUUGCCGGGUAGCUAUGUUCGGAAGCGAUAACCGCUGAAAGCAUCUAAGCGGGAAGCGCGCCUCAAGAUGAGAUCUCCCGGGGCACAAGCCCCCUGAAGGAACCAUGUAGACUACGUGGUUGAUAGGUCAGGUGUGUAAGUACAGCAAUGUAUUGAGCUAACUGAUACUAAUGAUCCGUGCGGCUUGACCAUAUAACCU